UUGGGCGUAAGCGCGCGCAGGCGGUUUCUUAAGUCUGAUGUGAAAGCCCACGGCUCAACCGUGGAGGGUCAUUGGAAACUGGGGAACUUGAGUGCAGAAGAGAAAAGCGGAAUUCCACGUGUAGCGGUGAAAUGCGUAGAGAUGUGGAGGAACACCAGUGGCGAAGGCGGCUUUUUGGUCUGUAACUGACGCUGAGGCGCGAAAGCGUGGGGAGCAAACAGGAUUAGAUACCCUGGUAGUCCACGCCGUAAACGAUGAGUGCUAAGUGUUAGAGGGUUUCCGCCCUUUAGUGCUGCAGCUAACGCAUUAAGCACUCCGCCUGGGGAGUACGGUCGCAAGACUGAAACUCAAAGGAAUUGACGGGGGCCCGCACAAGCGGUGGAGCAUGUGGUUUUAAUUCGAAAACAACGCGAAGAACCUUACCAGGGUCUUUGACAUCCUCUGAAAAA
rnacentral:rRNA from 2 species